GGCAGCUCAAAAUAGUCUGUUUGGCAAAUGAGCUCAACUGGAAGCUGACCGGCUGGAGGAUCCGGGAGCAGCUGAGGAACUCCCAAGUAUCACUGCAGGGCCCGAGGGGAGGCUGAGCGCAGAACCCAAGGCCAAGGCCAGUCUGGGGCUGUUACAGCUGCUUGGGCCCAAGGUCCCAAGGAGCUGGGAAGGGGGCCAGGGCUUCCACACAGGCGCUGGCCAACUGCACCUCCUCAAGCCCGCUCCCAGGUGCAGGAGGAGGCUGAUCCCAAAAUGCCAGGAGAUGGUCAGGCCUCGAAGUACACACCAACUACACUUAAAACAAACACUAUUCCUUAGGGGACUUUUCACGCCAGGCAGUUUUCUGCUGAGAUGCUGGAUUCAUGACCAAAAAAGGGCUGAUGUUUAUUUUUAGAGCCAAAAAAAAAAAAAAAAAGCCUAUCCAGUGCCUCUCAGAGGGCUUGGAUCAUGUGGCCCACCCGGCAGCUCCCAUCACUCUUGGGAGCUGAACUGAGAGGAGUACCUGCAUGUGCACGAAAAGGGCCCAAAGGCUCCAAUGCCCUCACCGACUGGUCCAGCCCUCUCAUGCUACUAGCCCCGAUCCCGACCCCCAGUGGGGGCGAGGACUGUGGGCUGGAGGAGUCAGGUCCACCGGCAGCACGGCCAUGUCUCCCCAGACGUCCCUCUCUCCCGGCCUGCCUGGCAGCUCCUGCGGUCUGCGUCUAUGUACCUGGGAAGGGAGGGGCAAGGAGGCCGCCUAGGAGGUACUUUCCCUGUGCGACUUUAGAAGAGGCCAAAGAAGUUGGGAAGAUGCCCAACAGACAACAGUGGGAACGAUGGAAACAGAGAGGACUCCAGGGGGCUGUGAGUCAGCUGUGGCUGGUGGGCGACCCUGGCCAACAGAGCCGCGUGAGCCACCAGAGAAGGCAGGCUGAGGGACAGCCCCAGGGAGCCCUGGGCCCAGCUGGCCUCGCCUCUAAAGCCUCGCUCCUCACUUGGGGAGACUCUAGAUGUCACAAUGUUCUUCCUGAGGCUGAGUUGAGUGAGAUCUUCCCUGGGCUAACAUCAUCGGAAGGUCCAGGAGGGAAGCAGUUAGGAUCCAGAGUCCCCCCGAAAGACGGAGGGGUGGAGAGAAAACGCGUCUGUGACGGGGCCUUGCACACGGAGCACCGCAUGAAUGUGUGUGCAGGGGGAUUGUCAUCACCCUCUGGGAGAUGCCACCCACUCAGAGGACCCCAGACGACCAGGGAGGCUGGGCAGAACAGCCAGGCAGUCUUUACACAGGAGGCCCGGGCGGGCGGGCGGCCAGGCAGGCAGCCUUCCCGGAGGCGGGACUAG
rnacentral:lncRNA from 1 species